CAGAAAAGCUGAGAACCCUGGUAUUCAAAGAGAGGAAGUGCUGCGUUGUCUCAGGAGCCAGCAUGAGAUGCUGCACCUAUGCUUCGACCUGUCACUGGUCGCAUUCCUUUCCUUAAGAGAAGAAUGGGAACUGAGGAGAAGAAAAAGAAGACUCUUCUUUUAAGGACAUUUUCUGGAAGUUAGAAGCAGCCCCCAAUACUUUCGUCACACUGUAUUGGCUGGAAUCCACAAACCAUGGGAAACAAACCAUCUUGGAACUUUCAUUUUAAUAGAUAUCUUCAAUUUCCUUCCAAGUGCCCGGACUCUGUGUUAGCUCCUUCUACCUACAAGCUUGGGACACGAUGAACAAGGACCAACUCUGCAUCUCAGUGAGCUUCAGGCAAUGUGUUAUUUGGGCCUGAAGUGAUCCUGGGUCUUGCCCCUACCGACCAAUAUACACAAUCCCUUGAAAAAAUUUGGUUCACGAGUCACAGGCCAGCCUCCACAAUGAGAAGUAGAACUGGCAUCGACAUUUAGGUUAACAGAGAAGAUAGGUGAGAUAAUUUGAAUCGUUUCCAUUAACCUAUUUGGAAAUUUUCUCCUGUGAAUGUUGGUAUCUAUUUUCUUACACGACGAGAAAGAAAAAGGGAACGAGGCUGAAUUUUCUUCAGAUGGUAUUUUGAGAGAUAUUUGAAUAACUUGAAGCAGAGAAUAAAAGUUUAUUUUAUUGAAUGUAGUCAGAAGAGGUUAACUGACUUUGUUCUCAGAUCACCAAUUUGAGGAAAUUGAACAUAUCCUGAGAGACCCUAUUUAUCAGGCUCUUGAUGGCUGGGAGAAUUUUACAUCCUCGUUGAAAUGACAAGAUGUGAAUACACUAACCUUGAAACUGCAAGGAGAGAGAGUCAUGAGGACCUCUCAUUUAUUGAAGGAAGUAAAGAUAUUUUGAAAUCAAAUUGGACAUAUCUUCCUUUAUCAGACUGCCCUGGAUUCAGAGAGAAUACAGAUUGGUGGAAAUUGCAGAUAUUUGAUGGAAAUGAAUUCAUAGUAUUAAAAGAAAGUCUUAGAUUUUUAAAAUGCAUGUGAAUCAUUAUGUUUCUGUAGCUACUCUUGGAAUGGACACUUCAAGAUAUUCAGAACUGCUGAACAUUAGCUUCCAGCAAUCUGACUGUUUGGGUUAAAAGUGUAUCCACCAGGAAGAAGUCAUAAUCCUGAGGUUUUGGAGACAGUGAUAAACCUAGUAGACUAAACUACGAAUAUAUUCCUUAUGUUUGAUAACAACUAGCCUGUUGAUACCAGUUCCAUAAUUAACAGGGGUGAAAUUGAACUCACAUUAGUAACAGGCCUCUAACUGUUUUAUGGAAACAAAAUUUAUUAAAGUGUGUUUUAAGGGGACACCUGGGUGGCUCAGUUGGUUGAGUGGCCAACUGUUGAGUUUCAGCUCAGGUGGUGAUCUAAGGGUCCUGGGCUCUGCUCUUUGUCACU